rnacentral:rRNA from 1 species
GGUACCGUAAGAAUAAGCACCGGCUAACUACGUGCCAGCAGCCGCGGUAAUACGUAGGGUGCGAGCGUUAAUCGGAAUUACUGGGCGUAAAGCGUGCGCAGGCGGUUAUGUAAGACAGAUGUGAAAUCCCCGGGCUCAACCUGGGAACUGCAUUUGUGACUGCAUAGCUAGAGUACGGCAGAGGGGGAUGGAAUUCCGCGUGUAGCAGUGAAAUGCGUAGAUAUGCGGAGGAACACCGAUGGCGAAGGCAAUCCCCUGGGCCUGUACUGACGCUCAUGCACGAAAGCGUGGGGAGCAAACAGGAUUAGAUACCCUGGUAGUCCACGCCCUAAACGAUGUCAACUGGUUGUUGGGUCUUCACUGACUCAGUAACGAAGCUAACGCGUGAAGUUGACCGCCUGGGGAGUACGGCCGCAAGGUUGAAACUCAAAUGAAAUUGACGGA